rnacentral:rRNA from 1 species
UGGGGAAUAUUGGACAAUGGGCGCAAGCCUGAUCCAGCAAUACCGCGUGUAUGAAGAAGGCCUUAGGGUUGUAAAGUACUUUCAAUUGUGAAGAAAGGGUGUGAGCUAAUACCUCAUGCCUCUGACGUUAACUUUAGAAGAAGCACCGGCUAACUCCGUGCCAGCAGCCGCGGUAAUACGGAGGGUGCGAGCGUUAAUCGGAAUUACUGGGCGUAAAGCGUGCGUAGGCGGUUAUCUAAGUCAGAUGUGAAAGCCCUGGGCUCAACCUGGGAACUGCAUUUGAAACUGGGUAACUAGAGUUUGGUAGAGGUGAGUAGAAUUCCUAGUGUAGCGGUGAAAUGCGUAGAGAUCGGGAGGAAGGCCGGUGGCGAAGGCGGCGCUCUGGAACGUUUCUGACGCUGAGGCUCGAAAGCGUGGGGAGCAAACAGGAUUAGAUACCCUGGUAGUCCACGCCUUAAACUAUGAAUACUAAGUGUCGGCGGUUUACCGCCGGUGCCGCAGCUAACGCAUUAAGUAUUCCGCCUGGGAAGUACGGCCGCAAGGUUG